CUCAGAGAUAUUAGGCUGUAAAAGCUUCGAUAUAGCACACCAUAAAAGGGUUUAGAAUAAGACAACACCACGACUCCAAAAUCCACCAGCUUUUUUAGUUAUUUUACACAGAAUAUUACCUGUCUAUCAUGUGUGCUUGUCUAAAUGGAAAAUUAACCAUUUUCUUCCUCUUCUUUUUCAAUAUAAUUAUAAGUAAUAAUUUGCACUUUUCUUCACUAUUUAAUGAGCAGUAGCAUAUUGAAUACUUGAGUGCUAUGCAGCUUUGUUUGUAGCUAGCUAGGUUUUCAUUGCUCAAUCGCUAGCUAGAGAAAGAAGACAUAUACAGAGAGAGAGAGAGAGAUGAACGAAGAAGGAAAAGGGGCGUUUGGAAUGAAGACUGUUCCAAGAUCUAUUCAUUGAUUCCUUGCAUUGGGUGAUGAUGAUAUAUAUCUCGGACCAGGCUUCAUUCCUCACGCCCUUCUUUCCAUAAACAAAAAUCAGCUUAUAAUCUACUUACAAUCAGAUUGAUCUAGUAAGAAAUUUCAGACUAAUACUUAUGAUCUUCAAGUUGUUCAUUUGUGGAUGAUGAACGAGGAAUCUUCUGCAGAUUAUCUUGUGGCUUGAGCGUUGUCCCCCUCUUCCCUAGUGUAUUUUCCAUGCGCGCAUGUUUAAUACACAGAUUAUCUUGUGCACCCUCGUCUUCCUUUAAUUUGUUUGCCUGCUUAUUGUGUAUAUUUUUUAUACCUAUAAGAAAGAUUUACAAUAUCUAGAGUUUUCAAGUCCAUCUUAUCCUUAGCGCUUGAUGUUAUUUUGUAAUAUUUGACAUGAUGAUGUGACUUUCUAUGAUUUGGUACUCUUAGAGGCACUGUCGAUUUAGUCUUCGAUGGUCUCCAUUAGCGUCUAGGCGUGGUUGGCCAACUUGACUACUUGACAUUAUUGACUUGGUUCCCGAUGUUUGACCCUUGUGGUUAGUUUUGUGUAUAUACUCAACCUUUUGGGUUUGAGUACAUUAUCCGAUUCGAUUAGCUAUUGAUUAGUUUAUUAGCCUCUUUUCGAUAUUUGAUUAGGUUUCUUGGAUCAACCUAGUACCUCGUGGUACACAAUAGUUGACUUUUUGGUUGUUGAGUUCCAUGUCA
rnacentral:lncRNA from 1 species